UUCCAGAACCCUCGGUAAGAAUUUAAUUUCAUUAUAUUAAUUUAGAUUUAUAUAUUACAUGUAAUUUAAUACAAAUGUUCUUUAUUUUGUAGAAACCUCUUCAGAAACCAAGUCUGCAAAAGAAGCUUCCAGUUCCCAUUGAAGAUCAAAUAGCUUCUUUAUUAUUAGCGGCUAAGGAUAUUGGUACAAACCCACUCGAGGUUCCGUUGAUGAUACUUUUUUUGGAAGAAACACUGACAUCCCCCUAUACAUAUACAUGCCAGAUGUGUUAGAAUUUGCAGUUGGAAACCAG
rnacentral:lncRNA from 1 species